AUUGAACGCUGGCGGCAGGCCUAACACAUGCAAGUCGAGCGAGCGGCGGACGGGUGAGUAACGUCUGGGAAACCUCCCUAUGGAGGGGGAUAACUACUGGAAACGGUAGCUAAUUCCGCAUACUAUCAGAUGUGCCAAGAUGGGAUUGGCUAGUAGGUGGGGUAGUGGCUCACCAAGGCGACGAUGCCUAGCUGGUCUGAGAGGAUGACCAGCCACACUGGAACUGAGACACGGGCCAGACUCCUACGGGAGGCAGCAGUGGGGAAUAUUGCACAAUGGGCGCAAGCCUGAUGCAGCCAUGCCGCGUGUGUGAAGAAGGCCUUCGGGUUGUAAAGCACUUUCAGCGGGGAGGCGUUACCAGAAGAAGAAGCACCGGCUAACUCCGUGCCAGCAGCCGCGGUAAUAC
rnacentral:rRNA from 1 species